rnacentral:rRNA from 1 species
UACGUAGGGUGCAAGCGUUAAUCGGAAUUACUGGGCAUAAAGCGUGCGCAGGCGGUUUUGUAAGUCUGUCGUGAAAUCCCCGGGCUCAACCUGGGAAUUGCGAUGGAGACUGCAAGGCUGGAGUCUGGCAGAGGGGGGUAGAAUUCCACGUGUAGCAGUGAAAUGCGUAGAGAUGUGGAGGAACACCGAUGGCGAAGGCAGCCCCCUGGGUCAAGACUGACGCUCAUGCACGAAAGCGUGGGGAGCAAACAGG